rnacentral:lncRNA from 7 species
CCCGCGCCGCGCCCGCGCGCCGCCCUGGGCCCAUUGAUUGCCGGGGGCGCGGGGGCACAGCGGAGAGGGGAGGUGGGCGCCGCAAGCCCGAAUUAACGGCCAAAGCCCGGCACGGAGCCGUGCCGCGACCCCGCGCUUUCACCCCGAAGCGCGCGUCCCCCGCUCCACUCACCGUGGCCGAAGCGACGGCGCUGUCCGCCAGGGUCAAGUGGUGCGGCUCCCACCGCCGCAGGAACUUGGGGUCACCCAUGUAUCUGGCAUGGAAAAAGCCCUGAAAAAAAGAAAAGCUUCCAGCGAAAUUCAUCAGGCUGCUGCCUUCUUUCCUUUAAGAUGUCUCAUGAAAGCAGCAGUGCUUGAAGAAGGCUAACGAAGGCGACUGCAGGGGAGGAUGAAGACCUUCAAGCAAUCGUCCAAGCUUUUACAGGUGAGCAGAAGCCUCUGCCCUUGGGCAUUCCCUCUGGAACGGCCAUCAGGACCCACAGCCACCAGCACUCAUUGCCCGCACAGAGCCGAGAAGGACCGCUCCCACCUCUCACUUCAUUUCCUUCGCCUUUCCUCCUCCAUUUCUUUCCUGUGGGUUUUCCUCUUUGAUUAAAUUUCUGGUAUGUAGGUACGCUUAAUAAUAAAACAGAUAACUC